rnacentral:rRNA from 1 species
AGGGUUCGAUUCUGGCUCAGGAUGAACGCUGGCGGCGUGCUUAACACAUGCAAGUCGAACGGGAUCCCAGGAGCUUGCUCCUGGGUGAGAGUGGCGAACGGGUGAGUAAUGCGUGACCGACCUGCCCCAUACACCGGAAUAGCUCCUGGAAACGGGUGGUAAUGCCGGAUGCUCCAGUUGACCGCAUGGUCCUCUGGGAAAGCUUUUGCGGUAUGGGAUGGGGUCGCGUCCUAUCAGCUUGAUGGCGGGGUAACGGCCCACCAUGGCUUCGACGGGUAGCCGGCCUGAGAGGGCGACCGGCCACAUUGGGACUGAGAUACGGCCCAGACUCCUACGGGAGGCAGCAGUGGGGAAUAUUGGGCAAUGGGCGCAAGCCUGACCCAGCAACGCCGCGUGAAGGAAGAAGGCUUUCGGGUUGUAAACUUCUUUUGUCAGGGACGAGUAGAAGACGGUACCUGACGAAUAAGCCACGGCUAACUACGUGCCAGCAGCCGCGGUAAUACGUAGGUGGCAAGCGUUGUCCGGAAUUAUUGGGCGUAAAGGGCGCGCAGGCGGCGUCGUAAGUCGGUCUUAAAAGUGCGGGGCUUAACCCCGUGAGGGGACCGAAACUGCGAUGCUAGAGUAUCGGAGAGGAAAGCGGAAUUCCUAGUGUAGCGGUGAAAUGCGUAGAUAUUAGGAGGAACACCAGUGGCGAAGGCGGCUUACUGGACGAUAACUGACGCUGAGGCUCGAAAGCGUGGGGAGCAAACAGGAUUAGAUACCCUGGUAGUCCACGCCGUAAACGAU